rnacentral:rRNA from 1 species
UACGUAGGGUCCGAGCGUUGUCCGGAAUUAUUGGGCGUAAAGGGCUCGUAGGCGGUUUGUCGCGUCGGGAGUGAAAACACGGGGCUUAACCCCGUGCCUGCUUCCGAUACGGGCAGACUAGAGGUAUGCAGGGGAGAACGGAAUUCCUGGUGUAGCGGUGAAAUGCGCAGAUAUCAGGAGGAACACCGGUGGCGAAGGCGGUUCUCUGGGCAUUACCUGACGCUGAGGAGCGAAAUUGUGGGGAGCGAACAGG